CUAGUCGGGAGUGGAUCCUCUCUAGUGAGAAAAAAACUGGAUGGUAUCCAGUGUUCAAUCUAACCAUUCAUUGUUCUCUCUCACUUAUUUAUUUCUGGUCCCAUUCAAUCAAAGGUGAUAGAUAACAUUGUAUUCUAUCAAUUGUUAAAAAAACUGGAGAUGAUCCUUUUCCAUCCUAGCCACCCUAUCCUCAGAUUCCUCACACUUCUCACUAACCCUAAUGUGACCACCGUUGGAAGCACAACACCCUCUCCAUUUGGGCCGUCGUUGCCGUAGCCGUCGUCGUCUGUUGUCUAAAGCCUUCAACCUUUUUUGUCAUUGGCUCACUGUUUCUCACUUUCUUUGUCGCUGGCUCACCGUCUCUCACCUUCUUCUUGCUGUGAAACUCUUACGAUUUCUCUCACCUCGAUCUCACUCUAAAGAUCUCUCUCACCUUGAUCUCGAUCUCACUCUCCGCUGCUGCUUCUAACUCACAUUGCCUUUCCUUAUUGCUCUGCCCCAAGAAGAACUUUGUUUCUUGUUGUUGCAUAUAAUCUGAGGAAGGACUUAGUGUAGCAUGGAGAAUAUGAGUGCUUGCUGAAUACUAUGGAAGCGUGUGUCAUUGAUAUCUAGUCUCAGUUGGUAAGAAGUUAAGAGAUUAGGAGUUCACUACUAGCCACUUAAUAUUGAUUAUUAAUUAACUAAUUAAUUAAUUGGAUGUUUCUUUAGUUGAGGAUAAAGAUUGAAGAGUAUUAUGGUUUGUUGAAAAAGAAUGUUGUUAAUGUAUAACUACAAAUUUCCUUCGUUAUUGUUUGCAUAAUCACCUAAUUUUGGUUAUACUUAUUUUAGUAUUCUUUUAUUGUAGUUGUAUGGAUUUGUUUGUUGCCAUUGUAUUUAUCAAUGGUAAUUAUAUUGAAGCUUAAUAUGAAAAAUUACUUAACCAAUUUAUUUUCCUCUGAGAGCAUGGUUUUGCAGCACACAUGAAUAUUGCUCUCAUACCAUUGGACUGCUUUAUAGUCCACCUCCUUUGCUGUAAAAUAAUAUAUCAUGAUCACAAGACUUCUCAUUCAAAUUUGAGGUACGUCAAUUUCUCCAUUUAAAUCUUGAUUUUAAAUUGGUCUACAAAAAGCCUUUUGGUCUUCUAAGAAUAAUUUUAAGGUAACAAAAUAUAUUACCUUUUUCAUGACACGAUUUAUGUAUUUGAUUUUGUUUUUUGUUAGAAUAUUUGAAAAAUUAUUUAGAACAUUUAUAAAAAAUAAAAAAUCAAUCUCAGGAUAUUUUUCAAGCUUAUUUUUAAAGUUUUUGCUAUUCACUUAAAAGUCUUUAAAAAAAUUCACUCAACAUGACAUUAUCAAAUUUAAAAGAUUUAAUACUUCUUUUUUUGUAAGUAUACUUACAAAAAACUGCAUUUUCCAGGUUUUUUUUUUUGAAUAUUUUCUUGUAUUUAGUGCAUUUUUUCAAUUUAGAGUAAUUUGAGAGAGCUAAAUAUGAAUUUUUUUUUCUACAUUAUUUUGUCAAAAAUUGAAUUUUUUUUCAUGGUCAAAAUAAAUGGUUGCAUUCCAACCUUCCUGUUCUUCCACAGGUUCUGACACUACCCUUACAUUUUGAUAAUAGCCAUCAGAGUUCAACUUAGGUGAACUUUGAAUGGUUCAGUUAUCACUUGGUAGUGACUAAUGAGUAUAGUUCAUCCCAUCCUUAUUCAAGUUUAAAUUAUAAGAUAAAAUAACAACGACCUCCCUGAAGUUAAAUUAAAUUACAAUAGUAGCCCUUGAUUUGCCAUGUGUAAGUGUCAUAAUAAAGAUUUCAAUGUCAUUUUAUAAAUACAUGGAUACUGAAUAUCAGAAGAUAGCUCAUAAGUUCCCCUAAAUUU